CCUACGGGAGGCAGCAGUGGGGAAUAUUGCGCAAUGGACGAAAGUCUGAUCCAGCGACGCCGCGUGAAGGAAGAAGUAUUUCGGUAUGUAAACUUCUAUUAGCAGGGAAGAACAGGACGGUACCUGACUUAAAAGCCCCGGCUAACACCGUGCCAGCAGCCGCGGUAAUACGUAGGGGGCAAGCGUGAUCCGGAUUUACUGGGUGUAAAGGGAGCGUAGGCGGUUGAGCAAGUCAGAAGUGAAAGCCCGGGGCUCAACCCCGGGACUGCAUUUGAAACUGUUGAACUAGAGUGCAGGAGAGGUAAGUGGAAUUCCUAGUGUAGCGGUGAAAUGCGUAGAUAUAAGGAGGAACACCAGUGGCGAAGGCGGCUUACUGGACUGUAAAUGACGCUGAGGCUCGAAAGCGUGGGGAGCAAACAGGAUUAGAUACCCGAGUAGUC
rnacentral:rRNA from 1 species